rnacentral:rRNA from 1 species
CUAUUUCUUCGAUUAGAACUCUCAGAAAAAAUAACGCUGUUAUCCCUAAGGUAAUUUUAUCUUGUAAUCUUAAUCUAAUAAUUAAGGAUCAUUUAAUCAAACAUUAUUGUAAAAAAUAAAAAAAAAGUUUAUUAAAUUUUUCAAUCACCCCAAUUAAAUACAAAAAUUUUAAUAAACCCUUAAUUCUUUAAAAUUUAUUUUAAAAUGUUUAUAUAAAACUCUAUAGGGUCUUCUCGUCUUUUAUAAAAAUUUAAGCUUUUUCACUUAAAAAUAAAAUUCAAAAAAUUAAAAAUGAGACAGUUAUUUUUUCAUUAAACCUUUCAUACAAGCUUCUAAUUAAGAAACUAAUGAUUAUGCUACCUUAGCACGGUCAAAAUACCGCGGCCAUUAAA